rnacentral:rRNA from 1 species
UACAGAGGUCCCAAGCGUUGUUCGGAUUCAUUGGGCGUAAAGAGCGUGUAGGCGGUUUGGUAGGUCCGCUGUGAAAACUCGAGCUCAACCUCGAGACGCCGGUGGAAACCAUCAGACUAGAGUCCGGAAGAGGAGAGUGGAAUUCCUGGUGUAGCGGUGAAAUGCGCAGAUAUCAGGAAGAACACCCGUGGCUAAGGCGGCUCUCUAGUACGGUACUGACGCUGAGACGCGAAAGCGUGGGGAGCAAACAGG